GUUAGGAAUCAGGUGAACUAAGUCUCCUAGAAUGUGGGUCUCUAGAAACCUAAUGCUCUGGAGUGUGCUACAGCUGGGCGGAUGACAAUUAGAUUCUCCCAAGUAGUUCUCUAGGAGCAAUUGGACCCAAGUUCUCUCCUCUUCUGGCUCAGUUCCUGACUGACUUCACUGUCAUGCCUCAGUUGUCUCUUUCUUGCCUCCAGCGUCCUCCUGCAAUUGAUGAGGUUCCUUCUGGAACGUCCAUUUGAGUACAACUUAUUAAGCCUACCUGACUAAAACAGUAACCACAGAGGGACUCAGAGAAUCUCAGAGUUGGAAGAGAAUCAUAGAUCACAGAUUUCAAUCUGGAAGAGACCUCAGAAGUCAUCUAGUCCAACUUCAUCAUUUCAUAUAUAAGGAAUAACUAAGGACCAAGAGAAUCAAAAUCAGGUACAAAGAACAACCAACAACCAGGCUUUUUGGAACCACAUUUGCACUCAUCCUUGGUUCUAUCCACUAUACUGCCUACCUAUCUCAUAAUAAUAGCUAGCAUUUAUAGAGUGCCUACUAUGUUCUAGGUCCUGUGCUAAGCACUUUACAAAUACAAUAUCAUGUGACCUCACAGUAACAAUGGUGUUUACAAAUGAAUACAAUUUGUUCAAAGACUAGGUCCUAGUCAAAUUGAUCCCAUGUAUGCAUUUAUUUAUUUGUUUGUUGUUUGUUUAUUUAUUCAUUCAUUUAUAUUUACAUACACACAUAAAGCAAAUUAAAGGAACAACUUCUCACAUCCCUUCUGUCUAAAAUGCCCAAGCAGAGAACUUUUGCCAACAGAGCCAGCGGAACACGAAAAAAAUGCAUCCUCAGUAGUAUCUGACUAUCAGAUGAUGGGGACUCAUUUCAGAUAUUUCCAUCUUUACUCAGGCUGUAGAGGGUUACAUUGAUGCCCUGCUUGCAAAUUCAAGAAUAUGCAAAUUCUGCAAGAAGAGUCUUCUUAAGAGAGUAUUUGGCUCAAAAUCUAUUAGAAUGAAGCCCCAGAACUGUCAUAGCAGUUCAAAUAACCUGGCAUCAGUGAUCUUGAUUCUUCCUAUGACAGUGAAACCCCUGAGUUACACCAUAUUCACAUGGUUAAUGGCAAGAUUCUUUGGGAUACUGCCAUGAGUACAAAAUGGAAGGUGACUCCAGGCAUGGUGUAUCAAUAAUCAAGAAAUAGUUCCUGCACAGUAUUUUCUCACAAGACUCAUUUGCAAUGACUACCUAGUCAGUACUAUUGGAAGCUGUGUUGUAAAUAUGCAAUAAAAAUAAUAG